CUCGGAGAUGAGCUCCAGCAGCACUUCCGUUACUUUUAGUAUCUCCUUGUUGUAUUCUUCAGUUACUUCCCUGGAUCAGACAGGCAUAUAUAUUACUGCUGUAGUGGUGCAAUCGAGCAUUUUUUUUUUUUGGCGGUGUUGAGG